UUGAUGCCGAACUCGCAACUUUCCUGUUAGCCCGGACCUGAGCCAGUACAGAUGCAAUACCGCCUCCACCUGUCUCACCAACGGUACAGACACAGCGAGGAGGGACUAGGUGACAAAGACGUGCACUGGUGCUGCUUGUGAAACGGCUGCCUGGGUUACCAGUGUUGGUAUGUUGGCUUUCCAGGAUGGUGGCCGGAUUGACGACACCGCAUCUUCGAGGUGGACCCCCGGAGGUGAGGCAUAGCGGUCCUAGCUGGAGGGUAAGCACAGGAUGCUUGGCCUGACUGUUGCCAAGGUGAUCCUGAGGAGUGGAGGCUCCACUGUUGGAGGAGGACACA